GGCUCAGGAUGAACGCUAGCGGCAGGCUUAACACAUGCAAGUCGAGGGGCAGCAUGACGAAACCUUCGGGUUUUUGUUGAUGGCGACCGGCGCAAGGGUGCGUAACGCGUGAGCAACUUGCCCUUAUCAGGGGGAUAACCGGUGGAAACGCCGACUAAUACCCCAUGGCAUCACAUCAAGGCAUCUUUUUGUGAUUAAAGAAAUUCGGAUAAGGAUAGGCUCGCGUGACAUUAGCUAGACGGCGGGGUAACGGCCCACCGUGGCGACGAUGUCUAGGGGUUCUGAGAGGAAGGUCCCCCACACUGGAACUGAGACACGGUCCAGACUCCUACGGGAGGCAGCAGUGAGGAAUAUUGGUCAAUGGUCGGAAGACUGAACCAGCCAAGUAGCGUGAAGGAUGACUGCCCUACGGGUUGUAAACUUCUUUUGUAAGGGAGCAAUAAGGGUCACGUGUGGUCUGAUGAGAGUACCUUACGAAUAAGCAUCGGCUAACUCCGUG
rnacentral:rRNA from 1 species